CUUCAAAACCUUCAGCAAGCUGAUGGUUGAGGUACUGAGGGAGUUCGAUUCCGAU
rnacentral:tRNA from 1 species